ACCUCUUCUUUACAGUUUCACCGCCUCCAUCAAAACCUUAAACAUCCUCCGCUAGAACUUCCACUCUCAUGAUGACACUACUAUAUUCAUCACUAAAAUCCUAAGUUUUACUAAUGGAAACCAAACGCUUUCUUUCUACCUCAACCAUAUCUCAGUUCCCAAAAAUUUUCUAACAAAACAAGUUCUUGCUGAUCUUGUUUGUUUAUGAUUCUUACGUAAAUUACUUAUCAAUUUCAAUUAGUGAAUCACAAUUUUUUGAUUUGAGGGAGUUUAGUUUGUGCAAUUUUGAAGGUUUUAUCUCCCUGAAAAUUGGCACUUGGGGAUUCAUAAAUUAUCCGUGAUACUGUGAAAUCAACGAGUUCAAUCGAAGAAAUGAUAUAUUUUGAAUUAUGGGCUGUGUUGAAAUGAAAAAACAAAAGGUUAUGGAAUGGAAUAGAAGGGGUGGUGGUGGUCCGUAAUAUUUUUCUUAUGAUGAAUGAUUGUAAAUUAAUAAAGAUUUCGUGUUUAUGUGGGUUUAGAAAUGUUCGGUGUUUAUCAAAUUUGUGUUUGCAGUAAAGAAAGCUAUGGAUUCUUGCGUAAAAAUACCCCUGUCCAAUCUCUUCACCACAUGUUCUUGCACAUCAUAUGUUUGAAGAAAGUUCUGAGGGAAAUAUUUCAUAUGUUUUAGUAUUUGUUUGUUGAUUUUGCUUGUUAUUGUUUUGGUUUAACUAAUUUCGUUUGAAUCCGCAAGGGUGUUGGGUAUUGGUGCAUGUGGUGCCGGAGGCGAUGGAGGUGUUGCUUGAACCGAGGAUGCGGAGGUGGUACUGGUUGUGCCGGAGGUGGUGGUGGUGACAGCUAUGUUAACGGCACCUAACAGAGUUGGAAAAUUUAACCUUUUCUUUUUUUGGUUGAAAUGAUUAACUAGCGGUCAAGACGGUCAACACCAGUCUCGUAACCCAAACUUUAAUUAAAAAAAUUUGGUGACCCAGACGCAACUCUGGUCACUUUGUUGUGACCCAAAGUCAAAAGUCAAAAUAUCCCUUUUUUUUUUAUCUACUAAUAAACAAAAUGGAAAGAAAGAAGAAUGUGGCAAUUCUGUUCAUGUGCGUUGUGAUUUUUGUUGUGGCAGAACAGAUCACACAAGCGGAUCCUUCUUCUUCCAAGUACACAGAAUGCCUUUUGAAAUGUGAUCAGGAUGCAAUAGGAGGAUCUGGAUCUUCUGAAGAUUGCAUUAAUCGCUCAGGCCAAAGAAGAUGAACUUCUUAGCAAGGGGAAAUACCGUAGGAGGACACCACAUUAAGCAGUUGAUCAUACAUUAAUUUGAGACAUCUGAUUAUCUAAGAAAUAAUAAAAACAAUGCUUAUAAAUGUAAAUUAGAUUACUUUGUUCUUCUCUGUUUGGGUUUUGGGGUUUCCAGGGAUUUUCUGUCUCUCUGUCAGGGUUGUAAUUAAGCAUGUUGCAUUGAAAGGAAAAUUUUGAGUUA